rnacentral:rRNA from 1 species
CCCUUAGAUGUCCGGGGCCGCACGCGCGCUACACUGAAGGAAUCAGCGUGGCUUUCUCCCUGACCCGAAAGGGUUGGGAAACCCGUUGAAUCUCCUUCGUGAUAGGGAUUGGGGCUUGAAAUUGUUCCCCAUGAACGAGGAAUUCCCAGUAAGCGCGAGUCAUAAGCUCGCGUUGAUUACGUCCCUGCCCUUUGUACACACCGCCAGUCGCUACUACCGAUUGAACGGUUUAGUGAGGGCCUCGGAUUGGUCUCGGCCCGCUCUUUACCGGGCGGCGCCGUUGGUCGAGAAGACGCUAGAACUUGAUCGUUUAGAGGAAGUAAAAGUCGUAACA